UACGGGGGGGGCAAGCGUUGUUCGGAUUCACUGGGUUUAAAGGGUGUGUAGGCGGGUAUUUAAGUCAGUGGUGAAAUCUCCGGGCUCAACCCGGAAACUGCCAUUGAUACUAUUUAUCUUGAAUUCUGUUGAGGUAGGCGGAAUAUAUCAUGUAGCGGUGAAAUGCUUAGAUAUGAUAUAGAACACCGAUUGCGAAGGCAGCUUACUAAACAGACAUUGACGCUGAGGCACGGAAGCGUGGGGAUCAAACAGG
rnacentral:rRNA from 1 species